UACGUAGGGUGCGAGCGUUAAUCGGAAUUACUGGGCGUAAAGCGUGCGCAGGCGGCCGUUUGUGUCUGCCGUGAAAGCCCCGGGCUUAACCUGGGAAUUGCGGUGGAAACUGGACGGCUGGAGUGCGGCAGAGGGGGGUGGAAUUCCACGUGUAGCAGUGAAAUGCGUAGAGAUGUGGAGGAACACCGAUGGCGAAGGCAGCCCCCUGGGCCGACACUGACGCUCAGGCACGAAAGCGUGGGGAGCAAACAGG
rnacentral:rRNA from 1 species